UCUCUCCUCUCUUCAGACCCAAACAGCAUACUCCUCCCAACAUCAACAUCAACAUCACACACCAUGUGGAUUCGCUGAAGCUCAACCGAUUCACCCUCACCCAUCUCCAUUGCCGACGCUUCACACGGCGUCUCAUCUCAGACCCAUCUCCAAAUCCCGAUUCACCCUCACCCUCAACCGAUUUAAUCAGACCCAUCUCCAAAUCCCUUUACCGAUUCACCCUCACCCUCAGCCGAAUCCCUUUACCGAUUCACCCUCACCCUCAACCGAUUUAAUCAGACCCAUCUCCAAAUCCCUUUACCGAUUCACCCUCACCCUCACUCAUCUUAUAAACCCAACACUCUAGAUAGUACCCAUUUAACUCUUCACUCUAUCACUCUCUCUUCAAACCGACACUCAAGGUUCAACUAAGCUCCGUCGGUGUGGGGGAUUCAGCUCCAUCGGUGUUGGUGCUAACUGUAAGAGAUUCAACUUCAUCAACGACGGGUUUUCGCUCUCUGGCACGGGAUUAGCAUCAUAAAAAAAUUUGCUCAGGUUCAUCUUCCAUACCAGGAUGGUAGAAUGGUAUGCUGUGCAGAAAAUGACUAAAGGGUCAG